rnacentral:tRNA from 1 species
GUCAAGCGGUUAAGACACCGCCCUUUCACGGCGGUAACACGGGUUCGAAUCCCGUACGGGUCA